CGGUUGUUGAAAGCACUAAAAAUAUCCUAUCCCUAAUAAAUAAUGAAAAAGAAUAGUAAAAGGGAAGUAGGGUCAAAUCCUCAGGGACUGGAUUUGCACAAUAUCUUGUUCCGUGGAAUCCCAGGCAGAGUCUUGCCCAAGACAACCUGCGUUCCUGAAAAAAAUAAAAAAAAUAACAGAAUUAAAGGGUUGGAUCUGGAAACGAAAAAUAAAAUAAAAACAGAAUUAAGAAUAUUGAAUCGAAAAUUUGAGAAAUUAAAAAUAGAGUUGAGAGAAAAGAAAUUCUUAUGGGAGAUUCCAGCCUCCAGUUGUCUCGUUCCGCAUUAGGUUCAAUCCUCGGCUUUAAGCCAGUUAU
rnacentral:lncRNA from 1 species